CCGCCUCCCCCUGCCCCGGGGCCGCUCCCCCGGGGGCCUCCCGCCCGCCGCGGCCCCGCCCAACGAGCGCGGCUGCAGCGGGACGAGCCGCUCCGGGCCGGGCGCUGGCGCCGAGGCCGCUGCUGCUGCUCCUGCUCUGACUGCGCCCGCUGCGGGACCGGGGCCUCGCCGGGGCUCGCUGCUGCUUGAGCCGCUCAUCCGAUACCUGCCGGAGUACAGGAGAUCCGGAGUGGGAAGGGAUACACAAGGACCACCAAGUCGAACCCUUAUGUGAAUGCCUCAUCUGGGGAUUGAACCCACACCUGGGCAUUCUCAGCACCCUGUUCCAGCCAAGCCAAUCUCAGCUCCUGGCAAUGUCCUGCCUGGGAUGGGAAUGCCAAGUGCCAGCAAGGAUUUACCCAACAGCUGUAAAGGUGCUCAUUCCAUGUCCCUUUCCAGGGAGAAAUGAGCAAGGCAAGUCCUGAGGGUUCACUUGGUCCUUGGCAAAAGUUCUUCUGGAGAGUGUCAGGGCUGCUCCUGCCUACAGAGGGGCGUUUACCACAGGUGAGUGUUCACAGCCCAAAAUCCCAGUGGCUGCUGAGGCUGGGGCAGCUUUUCUGGCCCAGAGCUGCACAGAGCUCUCAGUGACUCCCACUCACUGCCAGGAGUGUUCCUUGGUGCUCCUUCUGUGUGUCCCAGCUGGCAGGGAACGGGGGGAGGGAGAAGGCCGGGAGCCCCAGGAAGGGAAGCAGCAGCUCUUGUGCUUUGGAUUUGCAGAGAGGAGCUGUGCCUGCAGUGUCCUGCCCGUGGCACGCAGCGUGCCAAACACACAUCCCGGGAACGGGCACUGGGCUGCCCGGGCAGCGCUGGGAUGGACAUGGAUAAAGGGCUGCCCGCGGCCCCUCGGCCAGGGGCUGCUCUGAACAGGCACCCGCAGAUGCUUCAGCCCUGACAGACCCCACUGACACCCCAAAAAUGCCCCAAGGAACAGCUGGCACCGGGGAAUGUCAGCACGGGCUGUUUGCAGAGGGGCUCAGACAGCAAUUCCUGGUGCUGACCUCCCACACUCCUGCCAGCUAUGUCCCAGCCACCCAAAAUGCCUUCCCUUCCAGCCUGAGGCCAUCAUCCCUCAGCAGCGUUAAAGCCAAGGCAAGCUUCCCCCACAGCAAUGAAAUGCCAAGCAAUGCCCUCAGAGAUGCCUUCAAAUGAAAGGCCAGAGUCAGAGAAAUCGCUUUGGAUUGAGUUGGGAGUUUUUGGGGAGCCAGCUGGAACUGCACAACUGAUGGAAAGCUUUCCCAGGUGGCUCCCACUGCAGGUGCCCUGAAGGCAGGGAUGUGCAUCCCUUUCCUGAGGGACAAGAACUUGCAGAGGCCACUGCAGAGGCUCUGGAAUGAAAUCAGCUCCUGCAGGGAGAGAAGUCCUCCUGUGGGCACAGGGGCUGCCUCAGCAGGGGCUGGGAGCGCGUCUGGCCAGCGCCUUCUCCUGCUUUAAAACAUCACCUGGAGCCUGAGCUCGGGGGGUGCAGGCAGCUGAAUUCCAGGGAACUCUGUCAGGUGCCCCCAGGGACAUUGGGGGGGGGCUGGGGGAUGAGGGUUACAAACAGCAAAUUCUAUGGAACAUGAAGCUGUCCUUGCCCUGACCCUGCUGAGCUUCCCUGGAAGCUCUGCUGGUUCCUGACACAGCUGGUGUUAAAUAGGCAGCUCUGCAUGGGAAUAUCCAUGCUCCAGGAGGCACUGGGAGGCUAUUCCAGUGGCAAUUCAGCAGGGAAUUCAGGGCUUGGGGUAGAAUUCAUCUGAACUAGCAAAGCCAAACCCCAAAUCUGGGCACCACCCAGGGAACAAUCUUUGUGCUGCCCUGGCAGCCAAAGCCCCUGGGCUGGGCAAUUUCAGCAGGCAAAUGGAUGGAAUGAUCUAAAUGCCAGCAUCCCCCAAAGGGACAAUGCAAUCACCUCCCUUUGCUCCCCAAGUGUCCACUGUGUUCCCCACAGGUGCCCCGGGGAUGCCAGGGAGGUGCCUUUGCCCACAGUGCCUUUCUCCUGCCCCUCUCCAGCCCGAGGCCUCUUCUCCCUUCCCUGCCAGCUGCUGCCAAGGAAGGAGGACACAUUCCCCACUGAGAGGAACACAACCUCACAGCUGUUAAGGCCUGACAGUUCCCUGCAGGGAGAGCUCAGCACAUGUUGUCCUAGGUUAGCAAGCUGAGUCUUGGCAGUGAUGUUCUCCUUACAGCUUCCUCUGGGACCUGAUAGAACCUAUCAGCAGCCAGUUUAAAUAUGGACAAUU